GACGAACGCUGGCGGCGUGCUUAACACAUGCAAGUCGAACGGUGACGAGGAGCUUGCUCCUCCGAUCAGUGGCGAACGGGUGAGUAACACGUGAGUAACCUGCCCCAGACUCUGGGAUAACAGUUGGAAACAGCUGCUAAUACCGGAUACGAGACGGAGAGGCAUCUCUACCGUCUGGAAAGUUUUUCGGUCUGGGAUGGACUCGCGGCCUAUCAGCUUGUUGGUGAGGUAAUGGCUCACCAAGGCGACGACGGGUAGCCGGCCUGAGAGGGCGACCGGCCACACUGGGACUGAGACACGGCCCAGACUCCUACGGGAGGCAGCAGUGGGGAAUAUUGCACAAUGGGCGAAAGCCUGAUGCAGCGACGCCGCGUGAGGGAUGACGGCCUUCGGGUUGUAAACGUCUUUCAGCAGGAGAAGCGAAGUGAGGUACCUGCAGAAGAAGCACCGGCUAACUAACGUGCCAGCAGCCGCGGUAAGCUACGUAGAACG
rnacentral:rRNA from 1 species